CAGGUUCGUAUCGCAGGCUUGUUUCAUGGGACCACUGGGCACAUGUGGUCAAGCCAUGAGGAAGACAAGACGUCAGUUCCGAAAACACAGCUGCUUGAUGUGGCCAGCCAUCAAAGCAACACCCUCAAAGUUUGGGAUAAGACCGUCUGCCACGAGGACGCGCACCGACGGAGACCAUUCGAAGGCAUGGUCCAGAAAAAAAAACACCCGGCAUUUUGACACUCGCUAUUCCACCAAAGAAGCCGUCGUUUUGUGCAGAGUCCCAUUUGUGGGAUACAUUUUGUUGCAUCAAUUAGAAAAGCGGUAAAAAAGUCAACAGCCACGUAUGUUGGACCAACUUAGGACAUGUGCAAGAGUAAGCGGGGUGCCCACCAUCGCAGUUUGUGCAGUGGGGAGUUUCUUCUUCACAGUUGUCUGUAGCGUGUUCGUGCAAACUACGCUUUGCACAGGCUUGACGUCCACGGCAGCAAUGAGAGCCGUGGCCGAAAC